rnacentral:rRNA from 1 species
UUGGCGGACGGGUGAGUAACGCGUGGGUAACCUGCCUUGUACUGGGGGACAACAGUUGGAAACGACUGCUAAUACCGCAUAAGCGCACAGCUUCGCAUGAAGCAGUGUGGAAAACUCCGGUGGUACAAGAUGGACCCGCGUCUGAUUAGCUGGUUGGUGAGGUAACGGCCCACCAAGGCGACGACCAGUAGCCGGCCUGAGAGGGUGAACGGCCACAUUGGGACUGAGACACGGCCCAA